UGAGGAAUAUUGGACAAUGGGCGCAAGCCUGAUCCAGCCAUGCCGCGUGCAGGAAGACGGUCCUAUGGAUUGUAAACUGCUUUUGUACAGGAAGAAACACUCCCUCGUGAGGGAGCUUGACGGUACUGUAAGAAUAAGGAUCGGCUAACUCCGUGCCAGCAGCCGCGGUAAUACGGAGGAUCCAAGCGUUAUCCGGAAUCAUUGGGUUUAAAGGGUCCGUAGGCGGUUUAAUAAGUCAGUGGUGAAAGCCCAUCGCUCAACGAUGGAACGGCCAUUGAUACUGUUAGACUUGAAUUAUUAGGAAGUAACUAGAAUAUGUAGUGUAGCGGUGAAAUGCUUAGAUAUUACAUGGAAUACCAAUUGCGAAGGCAGGUUACUACUAAUGGAUUGACGCUGAUGGACGAAAGCGUGGGGAGCGAACAGG
rnacentral:rRNA from 1 species